rfam:Phyllobacterium sp. YR531 PMI41_contig_33.33, whole genome shotgun sequence.
UUGGGUUGUUGGGCUCUUUCCUCCCAGAUAUCCCAACGCCGAAUGUACUGCACCUCCUCCCGCGGUACAUUUACAAUCAGGACCGCUGCACCUCCUCCCGCAGCGGUCCUUUUUU